UCUCGAUUGGUCUAGUGGUCAGGAUACCUGCUUGUCAUGCACAAGCGCGCAGGUGGCCGGGGUUCGAUUCCCCGAUGAGAG